UACGGAGGGUGCAAGCGUUAAUCGGAAUUACUGGGCGUAAAGCGCACGUAGGUGGUUUUCUAAGCCAGCUGUGAAAUCCCCGGGCUCAACCUGGGCACUGCAGUUGGAACUGGAAAGCUAGAGUAGGGUAGAGGGGUGUGGAAUUCCAGGUGUAGCGGUGAAAUGCGUAGAUAUCUGGAGGAACAUCAGUGGCGAAGGCGACACCCUGGACUCAUACUGACACUGAGGUGCGAAAGCGUGGGGAGCAAACAGG
rnacentral:rRNA from 2 species